CCUUUUUGAGCAGCAGGUUGACGCUCUCGACGCCGUCGUUUCCCUUUGGGAGCGCCGGCUUGCAGGGGAACAUUUGUUUACUCCGGUGGUUGAUUUUAGUUUCGACGAUGAUUUUAAUGAGAGAGUGAGAAGUUUGUUCCAAUUGUAUGUAGAGAAGCUUCUGCAAGGGGAGUCUGUCGAGAAAUUGGAGAGGAAGGUAAAUGAUUUGUCUGUUGAGAAUGAGAAAGUUGCGAGCUUUCUUAGGAAGGCUAGGGGUCUUCAAGCUUUUAGUGAGGCUGAGGCAAGGAAUAAGCAGUUGGUGGAGGAGAUGAAUCGAAUUAUGAUUAGGAUUGAGGAGUUUAAGUGUGCAGUCAGGUGUGUAACGGAU
rnacentral:misc_RNA from 1 species